AUCAAGUCGCGGUCACUGGGAAGUGGAAGAUUAGAAAACGGGAGCAUGAGGAGAGCCCCUGCACUGGCGCGUACAACGGCUAGUGGCGACAGACGACAAGGAUUUUGGGGACGAAGCUCCAGAGAAUGUUCGGUCGGUUAGGUGGGUAGUGAGACUUCUUGUCUCUCAGAAACCCAGGCACCAGAAAAAUACUUUCAAAGCCUGUAUUUGUUUCUGUCCAAAGGAAUUAUAGGAAUUGAGUCAAUCCCUAAUUUACAGCUAUCAACAACUCUAUGCAAAAAAGCGUCCUAUGCUUUCUCUUUCCUUAUGGGCUUGCAUGCUCCCCGUUCUCCUCAAGAUCUUCUUGCUUCGUUGCUUGCUGGUGUGGCCUGGGUCUCUCACCCUAGAUUGUAGUUUUGUGUUUUCUUUUGUACAUCUA
rnacentral:misc_RNA from 1 species